rnacentral:rRNA from 1 species
GUGCCAGCAGCCGCGGUAAUACGGAGGAUUCAAGCGUUAUCCGGAUUUAUUGGGUUUAAAGGGUGCGUAGGCGGUUUGAUAAGUUAGAGGUGAAAUCCCGGGGCUUAACUCCGGAACUGCCUCUAAUACUGUUAGACUAGAGAGUAGUUGCGGUAGGCGGAAUGUAUGGUGUAGCGGUGAAAUGCUUAGAGAUCAUACAGAACACCGAUUGCGAAGGCAGCUUACCAAACUAUAUCUGACGUUGAGGCACGAAAGCGUGGGGAGCAAACAGGAUUAGAUACCCUGGUAGUCCACGCAGUAAACGAUGAUAACUCGUUGUCGGCGAUACACAGUCGGUGACUAAGCGAAAGCGAUAAGUUAUCCACCUGGGGA